rnacentral:lncRNA from 1 species
CAAUUCAAAAUGUUUUGUCUCAGACCAAAACAACGCUUGCAAUUCUAAUUUUAGAACCAAAAAAAGUGAGAAAAGUAGACCCAUUUUCGUUCAACAAAUCAACUUCUUAGCCAACAUUUCGAUUAAAACUUCAUAGAGCAGUCAGAUUUCGUUAACUAGAAUUUCGUCCAUAUUUUGAAGAAGCAGAUUCGUUCAAAUAGUUCCAGGAACAGGUAUGUUAAGGCCAUCCCUUCUUUAUUUUGGCAUGGUCCAAAUUAUAUUGAAGAAACGAGCAAAUACACAAUUUCCAUAAAUUACUCUAUUCAUAGAGUUAUUUGGGGUGUCUAUAUUCUUGAUUCCCCAUGAAAACUAUUAUUAUUUCCUGUUCAUGGGUCUCAGAUUAAUACACAGUUGAAAAAGAUUAUCCGGAAGGAAUAUUAAGAUUAUUACGUAUUUUUGAUACAUUUCACCCAUUUAUACAUGUGCAUUGACUCAUGACCAAAUGGCAUUAUAUACACGUAUAUAUGUAUAUUAUAUUUAUAUGGGAUACGGGAAAAAGGUUACGGCGUUAUAUACACAUCACCACCUGAUCAGCUGGUAUAUGAUGAUGAUGUUGCCCAUAGUGGCUGAAAUAUGACUCAAACGGCGUUAUAUACGCGCAUAUAUGUAUGUAUAUGUAUAUGGGAUAUGGGAAAAGGUUAUGGCGUUAUAUACGCACCACCACCUGAUCAGCUGGUAUAUGUGGAUGAUGUGCCCACAGUAGCCGAGACGAUAUGAUGGAAUGCCCUCAGUGGCUUGAUGAUAUUAUGUACACCCAUACCUAUGCAUAGCAUGACAUUUAUACGCAUAUGUAUGAUAAUUAUAAAUGUUUCAGAAUUUACAUAGUUAUUAAGAUUUAAAGGUAUUUUUGUAUUCCAUGUUUCAUCUUAGUCUUUUACGUACUUAUUUUCAUGCCUUACAUACUCAGUACAUUUUUCGUACUGAUGCCCUAUUUCACGGGGCCUGCGUUUCAUGCCCGCAGGUGUAGGUAAGCAAGCUGACGGUC